AGUAUUCUGUGUUAGAAUUAUAGUUGCAGUCAUGAUCAUGUCACUGCAUGGUCAUAACUUUCCAGGUGGAUUUACAACACAGCAGUCGCCUGUUGUCCAAGAUGUGAAGAACUGAAGCUGGAACCUCCAGAAUCAAAAAUCAUAAGCCACAGCGUGAGGGGCUUUGAGUGUUGCACAACCAGCUGAGAAGCAUCCUGGGACAUCCACAAGACUUCUGUGGAUAAAUAUAGAGGAGGAGGAAGUGGCUGUUGAACACCGUCUCACAGUUUACAGAAAGAACACAAAGACCAUGGAAACAGAAGGGACUUGGGGCUCAGCUGCAGGUACAAUUCCUGUCCAGGGAUCUCGCUUGGUCUGGGAACUUCCAUCAGCUGUGAAGACAGAAGUGAAACUUUCCCUCAUUCACUGGGCAAAUUUAUUUUAGUCCAAAAGUUAUCCUGUUUCAUGUGUUUUAUCCUCUUGUUUUAUUCCUAUACGUUAUUUGCAUUAGGAAAAAUAAAAUAAAAUACGAAACAAAAAAUCCACAUCCAUACACACACAUCCAAUUUAUUAUGUCCUUUUCUUUAUAACAAAAUGGCUGCCCAACUUUUCAGAAGCCUGAUACAGCACAAAUUUGACUGAAAACCUACUUUCAACAUAAGCUGAGCAGCAGUGAGUAGAACAGGAGCUACAACCACCUAACACUUCUGAAAGUUAGGCCCAGAACCCACAAAGUACUGUAAAAUCCCCAUUACUUUCAAGAAAAGAAAAACAGUGAAUAUCAGGCUAUGGACUUUUCCACAGUUUUCCUCUGCCUGAGUAGCAGUCAAGAAGUGGGAAAAGUAAAAAAAUGCACCAUUUCAGAGUUCAAAAUACUUGCUUUUGCAAGUUGUUAUAUGAAGGCAUCUGUAUUACCUUAGCAAUGAAUUGUAAUUGCUUUGUCCCUGAGUGGCUGGAUGUCUUGAAUGAGGGUAACAAUAUUAAUAGUACUGGUCGUAACUGGACCUUCUCCAUCUUAGGCGAUAGAAUUAUAAGGCCAAUUUCUGCCCUCAUUUAAUUUCAUAAAGCCUGACUGAAGAUGUUGAGUGGUACUGUGGUCUAUCUGAGAAAAUAGUGUCACUGAUGUCUUGCAGUACUGAUUCCAUCAUCAUCUAAGUCUGGCUUAUUCUGCUACACUUCAUAGGCUGCAAACAUUUUGGAAGGAUUCUUGAUAGGAAUUACUUCCUACAUUCCCAAGGGAUUUCCAAGGAUCACAGCCCAGGAAGAAUUCUGAGAUGAUUUUAUUGAAUUAUUUUCCUAAUUGUUCCAGUGGAGAUAUAUGGGUUGCUAUCUAUGCAGGGAGCUGGCAUUACAGCCCCUUACAAUUAGGGCUAUCUCGAUCGGGAAGUACUGGAUUUCUGUCCUAAGGCUUGAGAAGGUGCAUCUGUUACUCUUAGCAGAUAAAAACUGUAUGCAAGCUAACACUAGUAUACUCACUAGAAUAUUGUAACUGGUGCAAAUGAAUAUUUUACUGUGGAUUUACUGUAAUACUAUAACUUGAGACUUAGGACAAGUGGCGGCAAGUUAUUUAUGCUGGUUUGUGACACUGAGGAAUCGUUGAUGUCAGUGGGAGCAAACCAAAAUUCAGAAAUAGUGGAAGCCGUUGGGCAGAGCACAACCCUGGAAUUUUCAGCCCACAAAGCUCGUUGAUUAGAUUUGGUUCAUAUAGAAACAGGACAAAUUACUGCAUGAUGAUAUUUUCUAUUUUGAGAAGAAAAGAUGGCUCUAUAACCUUUCAGGCUAUGUCUAAUUGGCCUCAGGGCUGAAUCCUUGUUCUGAGACAAAGUCACAUGUCCUGCCCCUUCUAUAGCAGAUUUGUCUUGAAGAAAACUAGCUGCAGAGAGUGAACAAUAAAACAGUGUGGACAGUCAGAGCUUCAGUGUUCAACCUUCUUCCUUGGCUCUCUGUUACUUAGUACUGAAGACAUAGCCUCAAAGUCCAUUGUAGACCUCUUUUCUAUGAUUCUAUGGAAGUGAUUGUUUGUUACAGUGACUAGCUAAAAGAAAAGGGACAGCCUUAUUGGAGUAAAUCUCUUUCAAUUAAUAUGUGAUAAGGGGGUGGGGGGCCAAGCAUUUUGUUAUUAAGGUAUCUCCACUGUGAGAAAAAUAAUUCCAAACUUUUGGUUAACAAUAUUUUAAGUCUUCCAGUUUCUCUAUUAUACUGGCUUAGUCUAAACCCAUGACACCUAUGAAUAAAAGUUUUAAGACAGUCUA